AGAGUUUGAUCAUGGCUCAGAAUCAACGCUGGCGGCGUGCCUAACACAUGCAAGUCGAACGGUGAUCAUCAAGCUUGCUUGGUGUGAUCAGUGGCGAACGGGUGAGUAACACGUGAGCAACCUGCCCUCCACUUCGGGAUAAGCCUUGGAAACGGGGUCUAAUACCGGAUAUGAGCCGCAUCCGCAUGGGUGGGGUUGGAAAGUUUUUCGGUGGGGGAUGGGCUCGCGGCCUAUCAGCUUGUUGGUGGGGUAAUGGCCUACCAAGGCGUCGACGGGUAGCCGGCCUGAGAGGGCGACCGGCCACACUGGGACUGAGACACGGCCCAGACUCCUACGGGAGGCAGCAGUGGGGAAUAUUGCGCAAUGGACGAAAGUCUGACGCAGCAACGCCGCGUGAGGGAUGACGGCCUUCGGGUUGUAAACCUCUUUCAGCAGGGACGAAGCGAGAGUGACGGUACCUGCAGAAGAAGGACCGGCCAACUACGUGCCAGCAGCGGCGGUAAUAC
rnacentral:rRNA from 1 species